rnacentral:lncRNA from 1 species
UCACGAUUUAUUUCUUCUUACUUUCGAUGAAAACAAAGUAUUUUCUUAACUUUUCUUUUUACAAAUGAAUCAUUUCAGAAAUAUAAAAUAUUAACAACAUAUUUAACCCAGCACAUACUUUAUGUGUAGGUCCGAAUUAUCGAUGCCAUGGUUCGGUGGUUGUCGUUGGUUCAUCUCUAUCAUAUUUGUUGUUUUUCAUAAAUUGUUUUGUUAUGAGUUAGACCGUUAGUUUUCUUUUUGAAUCCUUCCACAUUUUUCAUGUCGGUGCUUUUUAUAGCCGACUAUAAGAUAUGAGUUUUCGUUGUUGAAGGCCGUACGAUAGCAUAUAAUUGCUUACAUAUAUUGUUGAAGACCGUACGGUUACAUA